ACAGCAGUAGCCACGGUAAUACGAAGGGUGCAAGCGUUACUCGGAAUUACUGGGCGUAAAGCGCGCGUAGGUGGUGGUUUAAGUCCGUUGUGAAAGCCCUGGGCUCAACCUGGGAAUUGCAGUGGAUACUGGAUCACUAGAGUGUGGUAGAGGAUAGUGGAAUUUCCGGUGUAGCAGUGAAAUGCGUAGAGAUCGGAAGGAACAUCUGUGGCGAAGGCGACUAUCUGGGCCAACACUGACACUGAGGCACGAAAGCGUGGGGAGCAAACAGGAUUAGAGACCCCGGUAGUCCCUGUCUCUUAUAC
rnacentral:rRNA from 1 species